AAUAAGAUGCCUGAUUAAAGGGUUACUUUGAUAGAGUAAAUUAUGCAAGUUUGCUUUUAUUG
rnacentral:tRNA from 1 species